rnacentral:rRNA from 1 species
GAUGAACGCUAGCGGCAGGCUUAAUACAUGCAAGUUGAGGGGCAGCAUGAUAUACGCGAGUAUAUUGAUGGCGACCGGCGGACGGGUGAGUAAUAGGUAGGAGACCUACCUCAUACAGGGGGAUAGCAUAGAGAAAUCUGUGGUAAUACCCCAUGAGGUUAUAUGAAUAGAGGCAUAUAAUCAAAGCAUAAGCGAUUAUGCGGUAUGAGAGGGGCCUACUGACCAUUAGCUAGUUGGUGAGGUAAGGGCUCACCAAGGCGAAGAUGGUUAGGGGUUUUGAGAGAGAGACCCCCCACAUUGGAACUGAGAGACGGUCCAGACUCCUACGGGAGGCAGCAGUAGGGAAUAUUGGGCAAUGGGCGAAAGCCUGACCCAGCCAUGCCGCGUGAAGGAAGACGGGCCUUAUGGGUUGUAAACUUCUUUACUACGCGAAUAGAGGUUAGUACGAGAUACUAAUAGGAAGGUAGUGUAGUAAAAAGCAACCGGCUAACUCCGUG